rnacentral:rRNA from 1 species
CCUANGGGUGGCAGCAGUGGGGAAUAUUGGACAAUGGGCGCAAGCCUGAUCCAGCCAUGCCGCGUGAGUGAUGAAGGCCUUAGGGUUGUAAAGCUCUUUCGCCAGGGACGAUAAUGACGGUACCUGGAUAAGAAGCCCCGGCUAACUUCGUGCCAGCAGCCGCGGUAAUACGAAGGGGGCUAGCGUUGUUCGGAAUUACUGGGCGUAAAGCGUAUGCAGGCGGACUUUUAAGUCGGGGGUGAAAUCCCGAGGCUCAACCUCGGAACUGCCUUCGAUACUGGAAGUCUUGAGUCCGGGAGAGGUGAGUGGAACUGCGAGUGUAGAGGUGAAAUUCGUAGAUAUUCGCAAGAACACCAGUGGCGAAGGCGGCUCACUGGCCCGGUACUGACGCUGAGAUACGAAAGCGUGGGGAGCAAACAGGAUUAGAUACCCCUNUAGUC